rnacentral:rRNA from 1 species
AUACGAAGGGGGCUAGCGUUGUUCGGAUUUACUGGGCGUAAAGCGCACGUAGGCGGAUCGAUCAGUCAGGGGUGAAAUCCCAGGGCUCAACCCUGGAACUGCCUUUGAUACUGUCGAUCUGGAGUAUGGAAGAGGUGAGUGGAAUUCCGAGUGUAGAGGUGAAAUUCGUAGAUAUUCGGAGGAACACCAGUGGCGAAGGCGGCUCACUGGUCCAUUACUGACGCUGGGGUGCGAAAGCGUGGGGAGCAAACA